rnacentral:rRNA from 1 species
CCUACGGGAGGCAGCAGUGGGGAAUUUUGGACAAUGGGCGCAAGCCUGAUCCAGCCAUGCCGCGUGAGUGAAGAAGGCCUUCGGGUUGUAAAGCUCUUUCGGCCGGGAAGAAAUCGUAUGGGUUAAUACCCUGUGCGGAUGACGGUACCGGCAUAAGAAGCACCGGCUAACUACGUGCCAGCAGCCGCGGUAAUACGUAGGGUGCGAGCGUUAAUCGGAAUUACUGGGCGUAAAGCGUGCGCAGGCGGUUUUGUAAGACAGGCGUGAAAUCCCCGGGCUCAACCUGGGAACUGCGUUUGUGACUGCAAGGCUAGAGUACGGCAGAGGGGGGUGGAAUUCCACGUGUAGCAGUGAAAUGCGUAGAGAUGUGGAGGAACACCAAUGGCGAAGGCAGCCCCCUGGGUCGAUACUGACGCUCAUGCACGAAAGCGUGGGUAGCAAACAGGAUUAGAUACCCUGGUAGUCCACGCCCUAAACGAUGUCAACUAGGUGUUGGGUGGGUAAAACCAUUUAGUACCGGAGCUAACGCGUGAAGUUGACCGCCUGGGGAGUACGGCCGCAAGGUUAAAACUCAAAGGAAUUGACGG